UACGAAGGGGGCUAGCGUUGUUCGGAAUUACUGGGCGUAAAGCGUAUGCAGGCGGACCGUUAAGUCGGAGGUGAAAUCCCAGGGCUCAACCCUGGAACUGCCUUCGAUACUGGCGGCCUUCGAGUCCGGGAGAGGUGAGUGGAACUCCGAGUGUAGAGGUGAAAUUCGUAGAUAUUCGGAAGAACACCAGUGGCGAAGGCGGCUCACUGGCCCGGUACUGACGCUGAGGUGCGAAAGCGUGGGGAGCAAACAGG
rnacentral:rRNA from 1 species